AGAGUUUGAUCCUGGCUCAGGAUGAACGCUAGCGGCAGGCCUAAUACAUGCAAGUCGAACGAAUCUAGAGACUUCGGUUUCUAGGUUAGUGGCGCACGGGUGCGUAACGCGUAUGCAACCUACCCUCCACAGGGGGAUAGCCUUCCGAAAGGGAGAUUAAUACCGCAUAAGACCACUGUCCUGGCAUCAGGAUGUGGUCAAAGAUUUAUCGGUGGAAGAUGGGCAUGCGUGCCAUUAGUUAGUUGGUAGGGUAACGGCCUACCAAGACUUCGAUGGCUAGGGGUUCUGAGAGGAUGGUCCCCCACACUGGUACUGAGACACGGACCAGACUCCUACGGGAGGCAGCAGUAGGGAAUAUUGGGCAAUGGCCGAGAGGCUGACCCAGCCAUGCCGCGUGCAGGAAGAAGGCCUUCUGGGUUGUAAACUGCUUUUAUCUGGGAAGAAAACGCCCCUGCGGGGGUAACUGACGGUACCAGAUGAAUAAGCACCGGCUAACUCCGUGCCAGCAGCCGCGGUAAUACGGAGGGUGCAAGCGUUGUCCGGAUUUAUUGGGUUUAAAGGGUGCGUAGGCGGCCCUGUAAGUCAGCGGUGAAAUCCCAGGGCUCAACCCUGGAACUGCCGUUGAUACUGCAGGGCUUGAGUUCGGUUAAGGCGGGCGGAACUGGUGGUGUAGCGGUGAAAUGCAUAGAUACCACCAAGAACCCCGAUUGCGUAGGCAGCUCGCUGAGCCGAAACUGACGCUGAGGCACGAAAGCGUGGGGAGCGAACAGGAUUAGAUACCCUGGUAGUCCACGCCGUAAACGAUGAAUACUCGAUGUUAGCGAUAUACUGUUAGCGUCCAAGCGAAAGCGUUAAGUAUUCCACCUGGGGAGUACGCCCGCAAGGGUGAAACUCAAAGGAAUUGACGGGGGCCCGCACAAGCGGUGGAGCAUGUGGCUUAAUUCGAUGAUACGCGAGGAACCUUACCUAGGCUAGAAUGCCCGUGACCGCCUCAGAAAUGAGGCUU
rnacentral:rRNA from 1 species